ensembl:snoRNA Gm23072 predicted gene, 23072
CCUGCCUAAAAAAGCAGUGCAGGUGUGGCUGCUGUGUCUCAUGUGUAACAGUUGGUGGCACAGAGAACAGAUAGGCAUAGUGUUCUGACCUAUGAACUUCUGAAUGAUUAGUAGCCUAAAACU